rnacentral:rRNA from 1 species
CACGCCGUAAACGAUGGAUACUAGGUGUAGGAGGUAUCGACCCCUUCUGUGCCGGAGUUAACACAAUAAGUAUCCCACCUGGGGAGUACGGCCGCAAGGUUGAAACUCAAAGGAAUUGACGGGGGCCCGCACAAGCAGUGGAGUAUGUGGUUUAAUUCGAAGCAACGCGAAGAACCUUACCAGGACUUGACAUCCCUCGCUAUUCAAGGAAACUUGAAGUUCCUACGGGACGGGGAGACAGGUGG